AUUGAACGCUGGCGGCAUGCUUUACACAUGCAAGUCGAACGGUAACAGGCCUUCGGGUGCUGACGAGUGGCGAACGGGUGAGUAAUGCAUCGGAACGUACCCAGAGGUGGGGGAUAACGCAGCGAAAGCUGUGCUAAUACCGCAUGUGAUCUGAGGAUGAAAGCGGGGGACCGAGCAGCAAUGUUUGGCCUCGCGCCUUUGGAGCGGCCGAUGUCGGAUUAGCUAGUUGGUGGGGUAAAGGCCUACCAAGGCGACGAUCCGUAGCUGGUCUGAGAGGACGACCAGCCACACUGGGACUGAGACACGGCCCAGACUCCUACGGGAGGCAGCAGUGGGGAGUUUUGGACAAUGGGCGCAAGCCUGAUCCAGCAAUGCCGCGUGAGGGAAGAAGGCCUUCGGGUUGUAAACCGCUUUUGGCAGGAACGAAACGGUGUCCGCUAAUACCGGGCGCUAAUGACGGUACCUGAAGAAUAAGCACCGGCUAACUACGUG
rnacentral:rRNA from 1 species